GCGGAAGUAGUUCAGUGGUAGAACAUCACCUUGCCAUGGUGGUGGUCGCUGGUUCGAAUCCCGUCUUCCGCU
rnacentral:tRNA from 1 species